GAUGAACGCUGGCGGCGUGCCUAAUACAUGCAAGUCGAGCGAACGGACGAGAAGCUUGCUUUUCUGAUGUUAGCGGCGGACGGGUGAGUAACACGUGGAUAACCUACCUAUAAGACUGGGAUAACUUCGGGACACCGGAGCUAAUACCGGAUAAUAUUUUGAACCGCAUUGUUCAAAAGUGAAAGACGGUCUUGCUGUCACUUCUCGAUGGAUCCGCGCUGCAUUAGCUAGUUGGUAAGGUCACGGCUUACCAAGGCAACGAUGCAUAGCCGACCUGAGAGAGGGAUCGGCCACACUGGAAGUGAGACACGGUCCAGAGUCCUACGGGAGGCAGCAGUAGGGAAUCUUACGCAAUGGGCGAAAGCCUGACGGAGCAACGCCGCGUGAGUGAUGAAGGUCUUCGGAGCGUAAAACUCUGUUACUAGGGAAGAACAGAUGUGUAAGUAACUGUGCACAUCGUGACGGUACCGAAUCAGAAAGCCACGGCUAACUACGUG
rnacentral:rRNA from 1 species